rnacentral:rRNA from 1 species
GACGAACGCUGGCGGCGUGCUUAACACAUGCAAGUCGAACGGAAAGGCCCUGCUUUUGUGGGGUGCUCGAGUGGCGAACGGGUGAGUAACACGUGAGUAACCUGCCCUUGACUUUGGGAUAACUUCAGGAAACUGGGGCUAAUACCGGAUAGGAGCUCCUGCUGCAUGGUGGGGGUUGGAAAGUUUCGGCGGUUGGGGAUGGACUCGCGGCUUAUCAGCUUGUUGGUGGGGUAGUGGCUUACCAAGGCUUUGACGGGUAGCCGGCCUGAGAGGGUGACCGGCCACACUGGAACGGAGACGCGGACCAGAGGCCUAAGGGAGGGAGCAGAAGGGAAUGUGGCGCAACGGGGGGAAGCCUGACGGAGCAACGCGGGGUGAGUGAUGAAGGUCUUCGGAGCGGAAAAAUGGGUUAGUAGGGAAGAACAGAUGUGUAAGGAACUGUGCACAGCGUGACGGUAACUAAUCAGAAAGACACGGAUAACUACGUG